UACGUAGGGGGCAAGCGUUGUCCGGAAUCACUGGGCGUAAAGCGCACGUAGGCGGAUUUGCCAGUCAGGGGUGAAAUCCCGGGGCUCAACCUCGGAACUGCCUUUGAUACAGCAAGUCUUGAGUUCGAGAGAGGUGGGUGGAAUUCCUAGUGUAGAGGUGAAAUUCGUAGAUAUUAGGAAGAACACCGGUGGCGAAGGCGGCCCACUGGCUCGACACUGACGCUGAGGUGCGAAAGCGUGGGGAGCAAACAGGG
rnacentral:rRNA from 1 species